rnacentral:rRNA from 1 species
AUAUGGUCAAGUGAAGAAGCGCAUACGGUGGAUGCCUUGGCAGUCAGAGGCGAUGAAAGACGUGGUAGCCUGCGAAAAGCUUCGGGGAGUCGGCAAACAGACUUUGAUCCGGAGAUGUCUGAAUGGGGGAACCCAGCCAUCAUAAGAUGGUUAUCUUGUACUGAAUACAUAGGUGCAAGAGGCGAACCAGGGGAACUGAAACAUCUAAGUACCCUGAGGAAAAGAAAUCAACCGAGAUUCCCUUAGUAGUGGCGAGCGAACGGGGACUAGCCCUUAAGUGGCUUUGAGAUUAGCGGAACGCUCUGGAAAGUGCGGCCAUAGUGGGUGAUAGCCCUGUACGCGAAAAUCUCUUAGUCAUGAAAUCGAGUAGGACGGGGCACGAGAAACCUUGUCUGAAUAUGGGGGGACCAUCCUCCAAGGCUAAAUACUACUGACUGACCGAUAGUGAACUAGUACCGUGAGGGAAAGGCGAAAAGAACCCCGGAGAGGGGAGUGAAAUAGAUCCUGAAACCGUAUGCGUACAAGCAGUGGGAGCCCACUUUGUUGGGUGACUGCGUACCUUUUGUAUAAUGGGUCAGCGACUUAUUUUCAGUGGCGAGCUUAACCGAAUAGGGGAGGCGUAGCGAAAGCGAGUCUUAAUAGGGCGUCUAGUCGCUGGGAAUAGACCCGAAACCGGGCGAUCUAUCCAUGGGCAGGUUGAAGGUUGGGUAACACUAACUGGAGGACCGAACCGACUACCGUUGAAAAGUUAGCGGAUGACCUGUGGAUCGGAGUGAAAGGCUAAUCAAGCUCGGAGAUAGCUGGUUCUCCUCGAAAGCUAUUUAGGUAGCGCCUCAUGUAUCACUGUAGGGGGUAGAGCACUGUUUCGGCUAGGGGGUCAUCCCGACUUACCAAACCGAUGCAAACUCCGAAUACCUACAAGUGCCGAGCAUGGGAGACACACGGCGGGUGCUAACGUCCGUCGUGAAAAGGGAAACAACCCAGACCGUCAGCUAAGGUCCCAAAGUCAUGGUUAAGUGGGAAACGAUGUGGGAAGGCUUAGACAGCUAGGAGGUUGGCUUAGAAGCAGCCACCCUUUAAAGAAAGCGUAAUAGCUCACUAGUCGAGUCGGCCUGCGCGGAAGAUGUAACGGGGCUCAAACCAUGCACCGAAGCUACGGGUAUCACUUAGGUGAUGCGGUAGAGGAGCGUUCUGUAAGCCUGUGAAGGUGAGUUGAGAAGCUUGCUGGAGGUAUCAGAAGUGCGAAUGCUGACAUGAGUAACGACAAUGGGUGUGAAAAACACCCACGCCGAAAGACCAAGGUUUCCUGCGCAACGUUAAUCGACGCAGGGUUAGUCGGUCCCUAAGGCGAGGCUGAAAAGCGUAGUCGAUGGAAAACAGGUUAAUAUUCCUGUACUUCUGGUUAUUGCGAUGGAGGGACGGAGAAGGCUAGGCCAGCUUGGCGUUGGUUGUCCAAGUUUAAGGUGGUAGGCUGAGAUCUUAGGUAAAUCCGGGAUCUUAAGGCCGAGAGCUGAUGACGAGUUGCCAUUAGGCGACGAAGUGGUUGAUGCCAUGCUUCCAAGAAAAGCUUCUAAGCUUCAGGUAACCAGGAACCGUACCCCAAACCGACACAGGUGGUUGGGUAGAGAAUACCAAGGCGCUUGAGAGAACUCGGGUGAAGGAACUAGGCAAAAUGGCACCGUAACUUCGGGAGAAGGUGCGCCGGUGAGGGUGAAGGACUUGCUCCGUAAGCCCAUGCCGGUCGAAGAUACCAGGCCGCUGCGACUGUUUAUUAAAAACACAGCACUCUGCAAACACGAAAGUGGACGUAUAGGGUGUGACGCCUGCCCGGUGCCGGAAGGUUAAUUGAUGGGGUUAGCUAACGCGAAGCUCUUGAUCGAAGCCCCGGUAAACGGCGGCCGUAACUAUAACGGUCCUAAGGUAGCGAAAUUCCUUGUCGGGUAAGUUCCGACCUGCACGAAUGGCGUAACGAUGGCGGCGCUGUCUCCACCCGAGACUCAGUGAAAUUGAAAUCGCUGUGAAGAUGCAGUGUAUCCGCGGCUAGACGGAAAGACCCCGUGAACCUUUACUAUAGCUUUGCACUGGACUUUGAAUUUGCUUGUGUAGGAUAGGUGGGAGGCUUUGAAGCGUGGACGCCAGUUCGCGUGGAGCCAACCUUGAAAUACCACCCUGGCAACUUUGAGGUUCUAACUCAGGUCCGUUAUCCGGAUCGAGGACAGUGUAUGGUGGGUAGUUUGACUGGGGCGGUCUCCUCCUAAAGAGUAACGGAGGAGUACGAAGGUGCGCUCAGACCGGUCGGAAAUCGGUCGUAGAGUAUAAAGGCAAAAGCGCGCUUGACUGCGAGACAGACACGUCGAGCAGGUACGAAAGUAGGUCUUAGUGAUCCGGUGGUUCUGUAUGGAAGGGCCAUCGCUCAACGGAUAAAAGGUACUCCGGGGAUAACAGGCUGAUACCGCCCAAGAGUUCAUAUCGACGGCGGUGUUUGGCACCUCGAUGUCGGCUCAUCACAUCCUGGGGCUGAAGCCGGUCCCAAGGGUAUGGCUGUUCGCCAUUUAAAGUGGUACGCGAGCUGGGUUUAGAACGUCGUGAGACAGUUCGGUCCCUAUCUGCCGUGGACGUUUGAGAUUUGAGAGGGGCUGCUCCUAGUACGAGAGGACCGGAGUGGACGAACCUCUGGUGUUCCGGUUGUCACGCCAGUGGCAUUGCCGGGUAGCUAUGUUCGGGAAAGAUAACCGCUGAAAGCAUCUAAGCGGGAAACUUGCCUCAAGAUGAGAUCUCACUGGAACCUUGAGUUCCCUAAAGGGCCGUCGAAGACUACGACGUUGAUAGGUUGGGUGUGUAAGCGCUGUGAGGCGUUGAGCUAACCAAUACUAAUUGCCCGUGAGGCUUGACCAU